CGCGCUGCACUGUCUCUGGGUUUGCCUGAUUCGGACAUUUCACAUCAACGGAAUUGACGCCGAAAGCUUGGCCUCCAGGCACCGGUGCCAAACUGAACCUCAGACAGAGUUUGGGGCAAAGCAGAAAAGAAGAGCUUUACUGCUUUGCCAGGCAAAGGGGGCCACAGCGGGCUCAUGCCCCUCAAAACUGUGUACCCCAACCUGGGGUUUUAUAGCAAUGGUUCGAGGGGAGGGGGUGCUGAUAUUGAUCGGGGUGUGCAGGGCCUUCAUUCCCUGAGUCUGGCCCCGGGUGACCUCAUGAGGAGCUUCUGUGGUUAUCGACUCAUGACCUUCUUUCUGGAAUGAGGAAGGCUUCAUCAGGUUCAUCUGCGUUGCAAUGUCUGCCACAGCCUUUUAUGGCCGAGUGAUAUUCCAUCCUGGGAUGGACUGCGUUUACCCACCCACCCAUUGCGGGGCAUCUAAGCUGUUUCCUCCCUUUGCUUCUGGGAAUACAGCUUCUCUGAGCAGGUAUGUGGUAUGGCGUGUGGUCUGUAGGGCUCUGAGGCUGGGGUGCCUUUCCAGGCUCCCGGCCCCCCUGCCAGCUACAGGUGACCUGCCACUAACCUUUUCUGUACCAAGUACCCAGUGGGUAAUCAGAGGGAGCCCAUGGGCCCCUUCUCAGAUAACCUGUUCCAGCACAUACUGUGAGAUUAAAACGGAAAUCAGCUGUCCUCAAACAUGACUAUUUAAAUGUUUUUAAAUCAUGGUA